rnacentral:rRNA from 1 species
GACGAACGCUGGCGGCGUGCUUAACACAUGCAAGUCGAACGGAAAGGCCCUGCUUUUGUGGGGUGCUCGAUUGGCGAACGGGUGAGUAACACGUGAGUAACCUGCCCUUGACUUUGGGAUAACUUCAGGAAACUGGGGCUAAUACCGGAUAGGAUCUCCUGCUGCAUGGUGGGGGUUGGAAAGUUUCGGCGGUUGGGGAUGGACUCGCGGCUUAUCAGCUUGUUGGUGGGGUAGUGGCUUACCAAGGCUUUGACGGGUAGCCGGCCUGAGAGGGUGACCGGCCACAUUGGGACUGAGAUACGGCCCAGACUGCUACGGGAGGCAGCAGUGGGGAAUAUUGCACAAUGGGCGGAAGCCUGAUGCAGCAACGCCGCGUGCGGGAUGACGGCCUUCGGGUUGUAAACCGCUUUCGCCUGUGACGAAGCGUGAGUGACGGUAAUGGGUAAAGAAGCACCGGCUAACUACGUG